rnacentral:rRNA from 1 species
GACGAACGCUGGCGGCGUGCUUAACACAUGCAAGUCGAACGGAAAGGCCCUGCUUUUGUGGGGUGCUCGAGUGGCGAACGGGUGAGUAACACGUGAGUACCCUGCACUUGACUUUGGGAUAACUUCAGGCAACUGGGGCUAAUACCGGAUAGGAGUUCCUGCUGCAUGGUGGGGGUUGGAUAGUUUCGGCGGUUGGUGAUGGACUCGCGGCUUAUCAGCUUGUUGGUGGGGUAGUGGCUUACCAAGGCUUUGACGGGUAGCCGGCCUGGGAGGGUGACCGGCCACAUUGGGACUGAGAUACGGCCCAGACUCCUACGGGAGGCAGCAGUGGGGAAUAUUGCACAAUGGGCGGAAGCCUGAUGCAGCAACGCCGCGUGCGGGAUGACGGCCUUCGGGUUGUAAACCGCUUUCGCCUGUGACGAAGCGUGAGUGACGGUAAUGGGUAAAGAAGCACCGGCUAACUACGUG